ensembl:lncRNA
GUGGUUGGUUUCAGCACUAACCCAGAUGUGGUUUGUUUCUGCACUAACCCAGAGGUGGUUUGUUUCUGCACUAACCCAGAGGUGGUUGGUUUCAGCACUAACCCAGAGGUGGUUGGUUUCAGCACUAACCCAGAGGUGGUUGGUUUCUGCACUAACCCAGAGGUGGUUGGUUUCUGCACUAACCCAGAGGUGGUUGGUUUCUGCACUAACCCAGAGGUGGUUUGUUUCUGCACUAAUCCAGAGGUGGUUGGUUUCAGCACUAAUCCAGAGGUGGUUUGUUUCUGCACUAAUCCAGAGGUGGUUUGUUUCUGCACUAACCCAGAGGUGGUUUGUUUCUG